GUACUUUCUUUGGCAGCACAUAUGCUAAAAUUGAAAUAAUACAGAGAUUAGCAUGGCCCCUGCAUAAGAAUGACAUGCAAAUUCAUGAAGUAUUCCAUGUUUUU